UGAAGGAUACGAAAGGUUCUCUCUAUAUAACGCUACUAAGCCCGUGAACGACGUGUUCAGUUAGUGCUCUCGUAGCGAGUGAAGAGAUAAGACCAGACUAGAGUUCAUUCCAAACAUGGCAUCAGUGAACACUACUUUGACAUCAAUUGUAUGCAAGAAUGGCAACCAUUCUGCUGCCUCAAAAUUGCCAAAUACCACCUUCUUGCCUGGGUUUGAUGUGGUUCGGAAUGUUGCUAGUAUGAGGAAGGACAUAUGUCUCACUUCCUCUUUAGGCCCUAGAGCCACAUUAACCUUUGAACCCUCAACAACCAAUUCAGAGAAAACUAAACAAAGGAAACACACAGUCGAUCCUGCUGCCCCUGAUUUUCUCCCACUUCCAUCCUUUGAACAGUGUUUCCCAAAGAGCUCAAAAGAGUACAGGGAUGUUAUUCAUGAAGAAUCUGGCCAUGUGCUCAAAGUUCCAUUUAGAAGGGUACACCUAGUUGGGGAUGAACCGCAUUUUGACACCUACGACACUAGUGGCCCCCAAAACAUUAGCCCAAGCAUUGGACUCCCUAAAUUGCGCAAGGACUGGAUUGACAGGCGGGAGAAGUUAGGUGGACCAAGAUACACUCAAAUGUUCUAUGCUAAGCAGGGGAUUAUAACUGAGGAAAUGGUGUUCUGUGCUGCUCGUGAGAAGCUUGACCCAGAGUUUGUGAGAUCAGAGGUUGCCCGUGGGCGGGCAAUCAUCCCUUCCAACAAGAAGCACCUAGAGUUGGAGCCAAUGAUAGUUGGAAGAAACUUUUUGGUGAAAGUUAAUGCAAAUAUUGGAAAUUCUGCUGUUGUGAGCUCCAUCGAGGAAGAAGUUCAAAAGCUUCAGUGGGCAACAAUGUGGGGUGCUGACACCAUUAUGGAUCUCUCGACAGGUCGCCACAUCCAUGAAACCCGUGAGUGGAUCCUACGUAACUCUUCUGUACCUGUGGGGACUGUGCCCAUCUAUCAAGCACUUGAAAAGGUAAAUGGAAUUGCAGAGAAUCUGAACUGGGAAGUCUUCAGAGAGACCCUGAUUGAACAAGCUGAGCAGGGUGUCGAUUACUUCACAAUCCAUGCUGGAGUUCUGCUUAGAUACAUCCCAUUAACAGCAAAGCGUAUGACUGGAAUUGUUUCUCGUGGGGGUUCAAUUCAUGCAAAAUGGUGCUUAACUUAUCACAAAGAGAACUUUGCUUAUGAGCACUGGGAUGACAUACUAGACAUCUGUAAUCAAUACGAUGUAGCACUGUCAAUAGGUGAUGGGUUGAGACCUGGGUCAAUAUAUGAUGCCAAUGAUUCUGCUCAGUUUGCGGAGCUAUUAACUCAAGGGGAACUGACGCGUAGAGCUUGGGAAAAGGAUGUACAGGUGAUGAACGAAGGACCUGGACAUAUACCUAUGCAUAAGAUUCCUGAAAACAUGGAAAAACAGCUGGAGUGGUGUAAUGAAGCGCCUUUCUACACUCUUGGACCUUUAACAACUGAUAUUGCUCCUGGAUAUGAUCAUAUCACGUCAGCCAUUGGUGCUGCCAAUAUUGGGGCCCUUGGUACUGCGCUUCUCUGUUAUGUAACGCCAAAAGAACACCUUGGUUUGCCUAAUCGAGAUGAUGUGAAAGCUGGGGUUAUUGCAUAUAAGAUAGCUGCUCAUGCAGCUGACUUGGCGAAAGGUCACCCACAUGCUCAAGCCUGGGAUGAUGCGCUAAGCAAGGCAAGAUUUGAGUUCCGAUGGAUGGACCAAUUUGCUCUAGCGUUGGACCCCAUGACUGCAAUGUCCUUCCAUGACGAAACCUUGCCAGCAGAUGGUGCCAAAGUGGCACACUUUUGCUCUAUGUGUGGGCCUAAGUUCUGUUCUAUGAAGAUAACAGAAGAUGUGCGGAAGUAUGCUGAGGAGCAUGGUUAUGGUAGUGCUGAGGAAGCUGUGCAGCAUGGGAUGGAUGCUAUGAGUGCUGAAUUUCUGGCUGCAAAGAAAACUGUCAGUGGGGAACAACAUGGCGAGAUUGGUGGAGAAAUCUACUUGCCAGCAAAUCAAAUAAAUCCUUGAAGAGUUAAAGGAUAUGUGGAUAUGGAGAAUGAGUUUGGAAUUUCUUGGACUGUUGGCACAUCAUUAGUCAGUCAAGAAUGGAGUUCUGCAAUCUUCAUUUUGUUUUCACUAGCUGUAUGGCUAGGGUGCGGGCAGGUCAGGCUGAGAAAGUCCCUUUGAACCUGAACAGGAUAAUGCCUGCGUAGGGAGUGUGCAGUUUCUUUCCCAUUGUUUUUUGUGCUUUCACAGGGAGGGAGCUUCCAUCUAUGGUUUGGGUUAGCUGAUCCAUGUGCGGGCUGGUUCAGCAUAAUGGUCAGGCUUAUAACUGAUAUGGCCAGGAAGGAAAAGAGGGCUCUCUUGUUAGUAGUUAUAUUCAGAAGUGGAAAAUACUGGCCUAGUUAAACCUUUUAUUCAGAAGAUGCGGAACUUCAUGCUUGCUUUUUCAUCAUGUAUGUGACCGAUGGUAUGCUUGUUUAUCCAUUUUCAGAACUUUGGGGCUUCCUGUCUAAUAAGCGCCCGAAUGUUAUUUGUUCUGAACACAUGGUUUGUUUAAAAUUCUCUUCAAUAAUUUCCAUUCAUAAUUUUAGAAUUUUCGUAA